rnacentral:rRNA from 1 species
CUACGGGCGGCUCCAGUGAGGAAUUUUGCGCAAUGGGGGAAACCCUGACGCAGCAACGCCGCGUGAGUGAAGAAGGCUUUCGGGUCGUAAAGCUCUGUCAGAUAGGAAAAAAGUUCAUAUGUAAAUAGCUUAUGAAUCUGAUGGUACUAUCAGAGGAAGCACCGGCUAACUCCGUGCCAGCAGCCGCGGUAAUACGGAGGGUGCAAGCGUUGUUCGGAAUUACUGGGCGUAAAGGGCGUGUAGGCGGUAUGGUAAGUCAGAUGUGAAAGCCCUGGGCUUAACUCAGGAAGUGCAUUCGAUACUGCCAUCCUUGAGUAUGGGAGAGGAGAGUAGAAUUCCCAGUGUAGAGGUGAAAUUCGUAGAUAUUGGGAGGAAUACCCGUGGCGAAGGCGACUCUCUGGACCAAUACUGACGCUGAGACGCGAAAGCGUGGGGAGCAAACAGGAUUAGAUACCCGCGUAGUC